UGACCUUUCUCCCCUAUCAAGUGUUUCAGGAUUAUCAGGUCACAGUUUGUGCAUCAAAAGUCAGCCAGUUAUGGACAUUGUCAUCUCAAUAACUUUGUAAAACAAAAACAAAACUUGGCAUUGUUAAUUCUGAAAAAGAAACAGCAGUAAAAGAGUCGUAUGCAAUAUCAAACACAACAUGGUUUAGUGGAAUUAAUAGAUUUUUUUUUUUUUAAAGAACUUUAAUGGGGAUUCUAUGUA
rnacentral:lncRNA from 1 species